rnacentral:tRNA from 1 species
GGUGGCUCAGUGGUAGAGCACUUGCCUUGCAUGCAUGAAGCCCUGGGUUCCAUGCCUCAGCACCA